CAAAACGGCACCCUUGUUGCUCAGCUUCGCAAACCUCAGCGUUCUGACGAACUCUCGCCGCUUCGAGUCCACCACCAAGAAAUCCACACCGGGAAACUCCUCCAUCGUGUUCUCAACAGAUUCUCCGACCACCACAACCUCCGUCGUAACAAAUCCUCUCAUGGCCAACACGUACUCAAGUUUAGAUUGCUCGUCAGGUACUAUACACACGUGUCUUCCACCCGUGUGAGUUGCAGC